GUAGGUGGCAAGCGUUGUCCGGAAUUAUUGGGCGUAAAGCGCGCGCAGGUGGUUCUUUAAGUCUGAUGUGAAAGCCCCCGGCUCAACCGGGGAGGGUCAUUGGAAACUGGGGAACUUGAGUGCAGGAGAGGAAAGUGGAAUUCCACGUGUAGCGGUGAAAUGCGUAGAUAUGUGGAGGAACACCAGUGGCGAAGGCGACUUUCUGGCCUGUAACUGACACUGAGGCGCGAAAGCGUGGGGAGCAAACAGGGAUUAGAUACCCUGGUAGUCCACGCUGUAAACGAUGAGUGCUAAGUGUUGGGGGGGUUUCCGCCCCCUCAGUGCUGCAGCUAACGCAUUAAGCACUCCGCCUGGGAUACGGUCGCAAGACUG
rnacentral:rRNA from 1 species